GACGAACGCUGGCGGCGCGCUUAACACAUGCAAGUCGAGCGAAGCGGCGGGCUGGUGAAUAACCCGUGAGUAACCUGCCUUAGACAUUGGGAUAGCCUCGGGAAACCGGUAUUAAUACCAAAUGGUCUAAGAUGGACUCGCGUCCCAUUAGCUAGUUGGUGGGUAACGGCCCACCAAGGCGACGAUGGGUAGCCGGACUUAGAGGGUGAACGGGAACAUUGGAACUGAGAAACGGGCCAAACGCUACGGGAGGCAGCAGUGGGGAAUAAGGCACAAUGGAGGGAACACUGAUGCAGCGACGCCGCGGGAACGAAGAAGGCUUUAGAGUCGUAAAGUUCUUUUAUAUGGGAAGCGGUACCAUAAGAAAAAGCCCCGGCUAACUACGUGCCAGCAGCCGCGGUAAUUC
rnacentral:rRNA from 1 species